CCGGGAAGCAGAGUACAGGGAGGAAUGAGACGGAAGCCCCUUCUAGGUUGCACCUCAGUGACUCACUUGUAACCAGACCCCAACACACUCAGCUGUUGAAGUCAUGAGUGGGUGAUUCCAUUGGGUCUCCCUAGCCUGCCGAAUCUGGCCUUGAACUCAUGAUAUUUCUGCCUCAGCCUCCAAACAAGUUGGAAUUGCAGACAAAGAUGAAGAGAAUUUAACACUGUGAUGCCUGAAAUAGAAAGAACUGUUAAUGGAGAGGAAGUGAACUCAGAUGGGAAAAAGGUAAUGCGGGAAGGAGUGAAGAACUGUGGAUAAACUGUGGAUGAAUAUGCAUUAAAGUG